CAUUGGUAGCAAACUAACUGAAUUAAUUUUUUAUUUUUUAUUCUUAAAAAAAUAUUUAUCUGGAACAAAGUUAUUAAUGUUUCCGCGAGAAUUUUGUUCUUUUAAUUUUUAAAUUAGACAAAAAAUUUUAAAAGUACAAACCCUAACAGAAAAUUGUAGCUAAUUAAAUUCUCUACAAUUUACUUUGCAUUCGUUUUGUUGUCAAAAUUUUUUUAAUUUACCAACGGGAUGACCAAAGUCAAAACAUUACUUUUUCUCAUUGAAAUAAAUUUUUUAGAUUUUUUCUGAGAUAGCCAAUCGAUUGGAAAUUUAAUUUUGAUUUAAGAACUAAAAUUUCAUCACAAUAUGUUGAGCCGUUUAGAAAUCACAAAGUACUAACUGCUCCCUAAAACUGCCGUCGAGGCUGAUUAGCAGGUUUUAGUUCAGACGCUCUUAUUUCUAAACGGCUCAACAUAUUGUGAUGAAAUUUUAGUUCUUAGAUCAAAAUUAAAUUUCCAAUCGAUUGGCUAUCUCAGAAAAAAUCUAAAAAAUUUAUUUCAAUGAGAAAAAGUAAUGUUUUGACUUUGGUCAUCCCGUUGGUAAAUUAAAAAAAUUUUGACAACAAAACGAAUGCAAAGUAAAUUGUAGAGAAUUUAAUUAGCUACAAUUUUCUGUUAGGGUUUGUACUUUUAAAAUUUUUUGUCUAAUUUAAAAAUUAAAAGAACAAAAUUCUCGCGGAAACAUUAAUAACUUUGUUCCAGAUAAAUAUUUUUUUAAGAAUAAAAAAUAAAAAAUUAAUUCAGUUAGUUUGCUACCAAUGCUGAAAAUUUGAACGAUUUAUCUCAACGCUUACUAAUAAAAUAAAAAAUUCGCGCAAACGUCUAAUUAAUCGAGCGCGCCGCUCUCCACCCGCGAGUGCAGCAGUCGGGCGACUCGAGCGAGAGAGAGCCGAGCGAAGCAACAAAGCAGUGGCCGCCGCGUAAUUAUGCUCAUAGCGAGACAACGGCUGCUCGGAUUAAAAAAUAAAUAACACAGCGAUUUUCCUCAUGCUUUAAUUAUUCUAUAAAUAUAAACUUUUCAGUCGCCAAAAUUCUAAAACAUUGAAUCAGAGCGAGAUAUUGGUUAAUUCCGUGGGACAACUUGUCCGGUUGCUAAACUCGUUUCCGCUUUUCUCUCACAAAAAACAAUCGGACAUGCACAAAUAUGAUCAGAAACGACUUAAUUUGUUGACAUCCCGGCACUGAAGCACAUAUCGACUCACAAAACGUAAAAAAUCCGAGUUUUCCGCUGCUUUUUUGAGCCGCAACUUCGCCGUCACGGAGAUAUUGGCCGAAUUUUCGUGGCUUUUCGUGCUUCCAGCUGAUUUGAGAUGCUUUUUCUUCGUUGCCAAAGCUUCCCUAGGUUCCGAACUAGUCUGACACCUGCAGAUUAUGUUCAAAACCGCCUUGAAUCGACAAUAUUUGACCGGAAAACGCGGCAAAGAGUGCAAAACAAUGCAUUUAGAUGGGAGCAGCUGGGAGCGGCAUGGGUUUUCCUUCCCCAGUUACGUCACUGGGAAAGCAACAGCAGCGCCAGCAAAACUCGCUCUCCCCCACCACGUCUCCUGCUCAUGCGUGGCUGGAAACAUCAAUCUUCAAGAAAAAUUCGCAGUCUAAAUUUUCCGGCCGAAAAUUGUCAAUUAGAAGACGAUAUUUUGUGAUGAAGUUAAAUCUGGCAUCAACAUAAUAUUUUUGGAAAUUUUAUCUGCAUUGGAAGUAGACUGGGGAAAAAUGGCAGGCAAGGUCCUUAUGGAAGCCGAAAUUGCAAGAACAAAAAAUAGCAAUCCAUGAUCCCGUCAAAAGAAUUUCCAGGCACCACCCUUCAAAGAUAUUUGUGCACUGCUUAAAUGCGCAACUCACAGUGAAAGGUUUUCGGCUGAAACUAACUGGCUGCGAAUUCUUAGAGGCCGAAAAUUUGGGCUAACCACAUGAAUCCCCGUCGCAACAUGUAGCCCCCAUACCCUGAUCAUAACAAAUUCAGUAAAAUUGAACCUCCCCCUUGCCUUUUUGGAGCUCGGGCGCUGAACCUAACUGACCUGUGAGGCUGCAGUUCGAACGUGAGGAAUUCAGAAAUCACCGGAACGAAACUGUUCUCGUUCCGUUGAUAAGAUGGCUCCGGGACACUUGCCGACUGCUGUUUUUGGUAUCAAAAGGCGCCGAUCGCGGCGCUCAGGUUCGCAUCGCAGCAUACUGAUUGCGCGCUGGACGACGGCGCAUUAGCCAUAAUGGUUGCCGCAGCCCAAUCGAAGAUCGCCGCGACCCUGCUGACGCCAAGGCUGACGCAUGGAAACAGGGCGGAAAGAGCAGGCCCAGGGGUGUCACCCGAGCAGGCGCCUUCUUCAGCGCCCAUCGCACAUCCAGAAGAAGAAAAGUUGUAGCGAGCCAUACCAGGUCAUUAUAGCAGAGAGAAACCCAUCAACCCAAGGAAAUUAUUAACGAGGGAUGCAAUAUGGAUCAUGGUGAAGUUGAAUAGAUGAGGGUCUGUCAAAUCAAUAACUGUGAAAGCCCUGCUUCUGAAAUAUUGAUUUAUUUUAUAAAAAUAUUUUUACAAUAAAAUGAUAUUCGCUGUCUUAUUUGAAAAUUGUCACAAAAACUGAUUUUUUUUAACAUGCAAGCAAUGCAAAAUGCAACAAUGUAAAAGAGACUAUGGUCAUGCUAUUUUUUUUUUUAAUGUUAAUUAAGGCUGCUCUGCUACGGUCUCGGUUUUCAUGAGCAUCGCAUUGCCUACUUGCAGAAACGUUUUCAUUGUCACUAGGUAGUAGCUUAAUUGUAAAAUCUAUUGAUUAGCAUUCAAUAAAAAUUUGAAUAAAA